rnacentral:lncRNA from 1 species
AGGCAGUUCCUAUCCCUUUCGGAGCUCCAGCCUGCCCCUCCUGACGCUCUCAGAGUCUGGCCUUCUGCUGGGCCCCGGGUCUCUCACUGGCAGAAUGGAGUUCUCGGAGCUGAUCCAUACGGGCUGAGCCCAAGCAGAGUUUCUACGGGGCCCGGAGGCGCCCCCGCUUCGCGGCACGGUGUGAGUCACCGUCCACCACCUGCUCCUGUCGCCAGGGCCCGCGUCCUCUCCGGACCUGUGGCUGCUGCUGUUGCGUAGCGUCGACUCCUUCGAGAAGCAGUUCUGCUACGCUCCAGCCAGCCCCUAACUGGUCCCCAGAAGCGGCGCUGCUACAGGGACCAGGAGCUGCUGCGAACUGCGCUGGCGGGGGCUCGUCCUUGGGCGCGGGGCUUCAUCAUGGACACGCUCUCGGCCCAGGCCGCGAAACAAGCCCGCGUGACUGGCGGAGGCACAGAGACCAAGGCCGCUUAACCUGGCUGGUUGCACUGGUCCCUGGAGAGCACUGAGCACAGGGGCUGCCACAGUGGCCGGCUCAGACAUGGCAGAGAUCAGCAGAGAAUGGGCAAUCAGGCUCCCCUGAGAUGAGCAGCAGCGCAGAGGAGGUGCCCCUCUCUUACUACACCAACUUCAGAGGGCGUCCCCUGCAGGAGAGCUUCAUGCGCCUGGUGGAGGCCUGUGGGGACUCGGAGCAAAGCAUGGACAACUGGCUGAGUCGGCUGGACGGCUGCCGCUGACUGUAACAUGUAAAGCAGGCACUGAGCACCACCUGCCUGGCAGUCCAGGGCAUGGAGAGGCACAGACAGCACCCUGCUUGUGACUUCACUGGCCCAACUCAUCCUGGACCCCUUGAGCAAGACCAUGGCUGGAUUCCAGGAACUGGUGGAGUGGAAGUGGAUCCAGGAAAAUGCCGUGUGAAGGGAGGACUCAGAUGCACUCCCUGUGGUCUGGGCUCAACCAGCCAAAAGAGCAACAAAGACUCCAGAACCCACUCUACCUCCUCAAUCCCUUGGCCAUCUGUGGAGCCCCAGAGCCUGCGGCUGUGGCAAGGCCUGUUUCUGCGCUGGACCUGCUCACCUGAGCCUGCAGAAGCUGCAUGGGGGAAGAGUGUGGCAAAUAGUGACAGGAAGGGAGAAGACAGAAGCCUCUCAGCCAACUGCUUCAGCCGAGCCCCUAUUCUAAGCACUGGCUCCUUGGAUAGCAGCUGAGAUGUUCCUGAAACCUCUGCAGGCCCCUUAGGACCUUUACACCUUGGAUGAGGGUGCCUGCAACCCAGGUUAGCCAAAAGUACUGAGGGUCUUAAGUUUGAAGUGUCCAAAGUAUAGGGAGGUCUCAAUAAUAAAAGUCUCCAUGAUCAGCAUCAG